rnacentral:rRNA from 1 species
CACCGCGGUUAUACGAGAGGCUCAAGUUGACAGACAACGGCGUAAAGCGUGGUUAAGAAAAACAUACAACUAAAGCGGAACCUCCUCCUAGCUGUUAUACGCUUCCGAGGAAGUGAACCCCAACUACGAAAGUGGCUUUAUCUAACCUGAACCCACGAAAGCUAAGAAA